rnacentral:rRNA from 1 species
GAUGAACGCUGGCGGCGUGCCUAAUACAUGCAAGUCGAGCGAACGGACGAGAAGCUUGCUUCUCUGAUGUUAGCGGCGGACGGGUGAGUAACACGUGGAUAACCUACCUAUAAGACUGGGAUAACUUCGGGAAACCGGAGCUAAUACCGGAUAAUAUUUUGAACCGCAUGGUUCAAAAGUGAAAGACGGUCUUGCUGUCACUUAUAGAUGGAUCCGCGCUGCAUUAGCUAGUUGGUAAGGUAACGGCUUACCAAGGCAACGAUGCAUAGCCGACCUGAGAGGGUGAUCCGCUACACUGGAACUGAGACACGGUCCAGACUCCUACGGGAGGCAGCAGUAGGGAAUCUUCCGCAAUGGGCGAAAGCCUGACAGAGCAACGCCGCGUGAGUGAUGAAGGUCUUCGGAUCGUAAAACUCUGUUAUUAGGGAAGAACAUAUGUGUAAGUAACUGUGCACAUCUUGACGGUACCUAAUCAGAAAGCCACGGCUAACUACGUG